rnacentral:tRNA from 1 species
GGCAGUUAGUUUAGACAAAAUAAAUGAUUUCGACUCAUUAGACCAUGAAAAUACACAUGACUUCCA